CUAUGCGCCUUGCCAGCCCGCUCAGGUGUGCCAGCAGCCGCGGUAAUACGUAGGGGCAAGCGUUAUCCGGAUUUACUGGGUGUAAAGGGAGCGUAGACGGCAGUGUAAGUCUGGAGUGAAAGGCGGGGGCUCAACCCCCGGACUGCUCUGGAAACUGUACAGCUGGAGUGCAGGAGAGGUAAGUGGAAUUCCUAGUGUAGCGGUGAAAUGCGUAGAUAUUAGGAGGAACACCAGUGGCGAAGGCGGCCUGCUGGACGGCGACUGACGUUGAGGCUCGAAAGCGUGGGGAGCGAACAGG
rnacentral:rRNA from 1 species